rnacentral:rRNA from 1 species
CUAACACAUGCAGUCGAACGAGAAAGCCCCUCCGGGGGUGAGUAGAGUGGCGCACGGGUGAGUAACGCGUGGAUAAUCUACCUAUGAGUUUGGGAUAACUUCGCGAAAGUGGAGCUAAUACCGGAUGGUCUGUCGAUUAUACCUUGAUUGACGGUAAAGAUAGCCUCUUCUUGAAAGCUAUUGCUUGUAGAUGAGUCCGCGUCUCAUUAGCUUGUUGGUAGGGUAACGGCCUACCAAGGCGACGAUGAGUAACUGGUCUGAGAGGAUGAUCAGUCACACUGGAACUGAAACACGGUCCAGACUCCUACGGGAGGCAGCAGUGGGGAAUAUUGGGCAAUGGGCGCAAGCCUGACCCAGCAACGCCGUGUGAGGGAUGAAGGUCUUCGGAUUGUAAAACCUCUGUCAGAAGGGAAGAAGUGCAAGUGGUCCAAAUAGGCCAUUUGUUUGACGGUACCUUCAGAGGAAGCACCGGCUAACUCCGUGCCAGCAGCCGCGGUAAUACGGAGGGUGCAAGCGUUAUUCGGAAUUACUGGGCGUAAAGCGUGCGUAGGCGGCGAGGUAAGUCAGGUGUGAAAUCCCACGGCUCAACCCGUGGAACUGCACUUGAAACUGCUUUGCUUGAGUACUGGAGGGGAUGGCGGAAUUCCUGGUGUAGGAGUUAAAUCCGUAGAUAUCAGGAGGAACACCCGUUGGCGAAGGCGGCCAUCUGGACAGUAACUGACGCUGAGGUACGAAAGCGUGGGUAGCAAACAAGGAUUAGAUACCCUGGUAGUCCACGCUGUAAACGAUGGAUACUCGAUGUCGGGGCCUUGAGCUUCGGUGUCAAAGUUAACGCAUUAAGUAUCCCGCCUGGGGAGUACGGUCGCAAGGCUGAAACUCAAAGAAAUUGACGGGGGCCCGCACAAUCGGUGGAGUAUGUGGUUUAAUUCGAUGCAACGCGAAGAACCUUACCUGGACUUGACAUCCUGCGGAUCCCCUGGAGACAGGGGAGUGCCUUUCGGGGAACGCAGAGACAGGUGCUGCAUGGCUGUCGUCAGCUCGUGCCGUGAGCUGUUGGGUUAAGUCCCGCAACGAGCGCAACCCCUAUUUUCAGUUGCCAUCACAUAAUGGUGGGCACUCUGGAGAGACUGCCCGGGUUAACCGGGAGGAAGGUGGGGACGACGUCAAGUCAUCAUGGCCCUUACGUCCAGGGCUACACACAUAUAACAAUGGAAGGCACAAAGGGGAGCGAGACCGCGAGGUGGAGCGAAUCCCAGAAGACCCUUCCCAGUUCGGAUUGGAGUCUGCAACUCGACUCCAUGAAGUUGGAAUCGCUAGUAAUCCCGGAUCAGCAUGCCGGGGUGAAUACGUUCCCGGGCCUGUACACACCGCCCGUCACACCACGA